CUUCUAACUAAAAUGGGAUAAACACGUCGAUGAUUACAAUAAUUUUAACUAAAAAUAAUUUAAUAUUUUUAAAAGAACCAAAUUUUAAAUAAUUAAUUUCAGUCAAAAUUUUAUUUUACUAACAUUUCAAAGAAAGAUUAUUAUUUACGCACAGACAUUUAUAUAGAAUACCUAAAUAUAGGCUACUAAUAACUAAUGUAUCUAUCAAAUAACACGUUACAAUAAUAUUAGUAGUUUUACUUUCCUAUCUAACAUUUUUUUUUUCUAUUCAUCAUUUUAACAUGCGUGUUGGACUAAUUCUUUUUUUUAUGAAUGUUACUACUGUCUACUGUGAUGGUCGUUGCCCAAAUUAGAUAGCAGUCUUGUAAAGUAUUCGAAUACAUACUGUGAAUACGUUUUUUUUUGUAUUUUAUUUUUAAAUUACUUGAUUAUUUUUUCCGAAAAAUAACCCCGAUUACAGCUAGGUAGCUUUUCCUUAUAUUUUGAUCGAUAACAAAAAUUAGUGAAAUAAGCAACUAUAAAUAUUUUAAGUUAUAACUGACUGCGAACAACGCUGAUGAGAAAUUAUUAAUUCUUGUUCACCUUAGAUAUACCAGCCAAUGUUAGGUAUUUGAUACUAUUGGCUAAAUUGUAUUAUCAUUUAUCAGGAGUUAUUUAUUUUUAGACCGUACAUUAACAUAUUUGUUUAUAUUAUUUACCACGCAACACGCAUUUGGUUUUAAUUUUAAAAAAUAUACAUGUGUAUAUAAUAUAUUAAAAACUAUU